rnacentral:rRNA from 1 species
GGUGGAUGUGGAGCUUGUGUAGUCCUUAUAGCAACCUAUAAUCCAACAAAAGAUGAAGUGACCAAAUUCUCCGCAAGUUGAUGCCUGGCCCUGCUCUACAGCAUAAAUCUCUGCUCAGCCAUCACCACCGAAGGCCUGGGAAAUACACAAGAUGGCUUCCAUUCUAUUCAGAAAAGAAUGUCCGGGUUCCAUGGUUCUCAGUGCGGCUUCUGCACUCCCGGCAUGUGCAUGUCUAUUUUCACUUCUCUUGCCAAUGCUGACAAGUCCAAGAAGCCCGAACCACGAAAGGGGUUCUCAAAGUUGACAGUAUCUGAAGCAGAAAGGGCUUUCUCAGGCAACAUGUGUAGAUGUACCGGCUACCGACCGAUCGUCGAUGCGUGCAAAAGUUUUGCUUCAGAUGUUGACCUGGAGGAUUUGGGCCUCAAUAUAUUCUGGAAGAAAGGUGAUAAGGACGCCGACGUCAGCAAGUUGCCAGCUUACACUCUUGGUGGUGGAGUCUGCACUUUCCCGGACUUCCUGAAAUCCGAGAUAAAAUCUUCGCUCCUUCAUCUAACUGAUGUUUCAGAUGUCACGGUCUCCAGGGUGGGUUGGUAUCAUCCUAAAAGCAUUGGGCAGUAUUAUGACUUGCUGAACUCUGGCAUUUUUAGUGACUGCACAGUUAAAGUGGUUGUCGGGAACACAAGUUCUGGUGUCAAGGGAUACAAGGAUCGGGAUCUAUAUAACAAGUAUAUUGACAUCGGUGACAUUCCUGAACUUUCAGCUGUUUGGAAGAAAGACAGUGGCUUUGAAAUCGGAGCAGCUACACCAAUUUCUAAAACUAUUGAGAUACUCGAGCAAGAAGCUAGAUCUACAUCAUGUGCAAAUGGAAGUGUGGUUUUCAGAAAACUCGCUGAGCACAUGAGCAAGGUGGCCACACCAUUUGUCCGCAACACAGCAAGCCUUGGUGGGAACAUAAUUCUAGCACAGAAAUACCCGUUUCCCUCGGACAUCGCGACCAUACUUCUUGGUGCUGCUUCAACUGUUCGUCUUCAGGUUUAUUCAGAAACACUAGAGGUAACUUUUGAAGAGUUUCUGGAGCAGCCUCCUCUUGAUCCCAGUACAUUGCUCCUGAGCAUAUUUAUUCCACAUUGGGCUUCAGAUUCUCAGAAAGAAAGUAAGGUGAUCUUCGAAACUUACCGAGCGGCACCUCGCCCUCUUGGCAAUGUUGUUUCAUAUGUUAACUCUGCUAUGCUGGGCCAUGUCUUCCUGAAUGAAUCGUCUGGUGAUCUUGUGUUGAGUAACCUACACAUGGCCUUUGGUGCCUAUGGGACCGAACAUGCUAUUAGAGUAACAAAAGUUGAACAACACCUGAACGGUAGUUCGAUUACUUAG